rnacentral:rRNA from 1 species
UACGUAGGGGGCGAGCGUUAUCCGGAUUCAUUGGGCGUAAAGCGCGCGCAGGCGGACCGUUAAGCGGGACCUCUAAUCUCAGGGCUCAACCUUGAGCCGGGUCCCGAACUGGCGUGUCUCGAGUUCGGUAGGGGAGAUCGGAAUUCCCGGUGUAGCGGUGGAAUGCGCAGAUAUCGGGAAGAACACCGAUGGCGAAGGCAGAUCUCUGGGCCGCAACUGACGCUGAGGCGCGAAAGCUAGGGGAGCGAACAGG